UACGAAGGGUGCAAACGUUGCUCGGAAUUAUUGGGCGUAAAGCGCACGUAGGCGGCUAUUCAAGUCGGAUGUGAAAUCCCUCGGCUCAACCAAGGAAGUGCACCCGAAACUGGAUAGCUUGAGUACCAAAGAGGAUCGCGGAAUUCCCGGUGUAGAGGUGAAAUGCGUUGAUAUCCAGCGGAACUCCGGUGGCGAAGGCGAGGUGCUGGACUGUAACUGACACUGAAGAACGAAAGCCAGGGGAGCAAACGGG
rnacentral:rRNA from 1 species